GACGAACGCUGGCGGCGUGCCUAAUACAUGCAAGUCGAGCGGACUUGAAGGAGUGCUUGCACUCCUGAGAGUUAGCGGCGGACGGGUGAGUAACACGUAGGCAACCUGCCCUCAAGACUGGGAUAACUACCGGAAGCGGUAGCUAAUACCGGAUAAUUUAUUACAUAGCAUUAUGUGAUAAUGAAAGACGGAGCAAUCUGUCACUUGGGGAUGGGCCUGCGGCGCAUUAGCUAGUUGGUGGGGUAACGGCCCACCAAGGCGACGAUGCGUAGCCGACCUGAGAGGGUGAACGGCCACACUGGGACUGAGACACGGCCCAGACUCCUACGGGAGGCAGCAGUAGGGAAUCUUCCGCAAUGGGCGAAAGCCUGACGGAGCAACGCCGCGUGAGUGAUGAAGGUUUUCGGAUCGUAAAGCUCUGUUGCCAAGGAAGAACGUCUCAUAGAGUAACUGCUAUGAGAGUGACGGUACUUGAGAAGAAAGCCCCGGCUAACUACGUG
rnacentral:rRNA from 1 species